UACGUAGGGUGCGAGCGUUGUCCGGAAUUAUUGGGCCUAAAGCAUCCGUAGCCGGUUCUACAAGUCUUCCGUUAAAUCCACCUGCUUAACAGAUGGGCUGCGGAAGAUACUAUAGAGCUAGGAGGCGGGAGAGGCAAGCGGUACUCGAUGGGUAGGGGUAAAAUCCGUUGAUCCAUUGAAGACCACCAGUGGCGAAGGCGGCUUGCCAGAACGCGCUCGACGGUGAGGGAUGAAAGCUGGGGGAGCAAACCGG
rnacentral:rRNA from 1 species